GCCUAUGGCCAUACUACCCUGAAAGUGCCUCACCUCGUCUGAUCUCGGAAGCUAAGCAGGCUCAGUCCUAGUUAGUACUUGGAUGGGAGAAUGCCUGGGAAUACCGGGUGCUAUAGGCU
rnacentral:rRNA from 1 species